rnacentral:rRNA from 1 species
GACCCCGGGCGUCUUUUCGCGGAACCAAUGAUGACUAGCCUGCGAGUCUUGUAGUAUACAAGGCAGACGGCUCAGUAACGCGUAGCCAAUCUAACCUAUGGACGGGAAUAACCUCGGGAAACUGAGUAUAAUGCCCGAUAGAACAUUAUGCCUGGAAUGGUUUAUGUUCCAAAUGAUUUAUCGCCGUAGGAUGGGACUGCGGCCUAUCAGUUUGUUGGUGAGGUAAUGGCCCACCAAGACUAUUACAGGUACGGGCUCUGAGAGGAGUAGCCCGGAGAUGGGUACUGAGACACGGACCCAGGCCCUAUGGGGCGCAGCAGGCGAGAAAACUUUGCAAUGUGCGAAAGCACGACAAGGUUAAUCCGAGUGGUUUCUGCUAAAGGAACCUUUUGUCGGUCCUAGAAACACCGAUGAAUAAGGGGUGGGCAAGUUCUGGUGUCAGCCGCCGCGGUAAAACCAGCACCUCAAGUGGUCAGGAUGAUUAUUGGGCCUAAAGCAUCCGUAGCCGGCUCUGUUAGUUUUCGGUUAAAUCUGUACGCUCAACGUACAGGCUGCCGGGAAUACUGCAGAGCUAGGGAGUGGGAGAGGUAGACGGUACUCGGUAGGAAGGGGUAAAAUCCUUUGAUCUAUUGAUGACCACCUGUGGCGAACGCGGUCUACCAGAACACGUCCGACGGUGAGGGAUGAAAGCUGGGGGAGCAAACCGGAUUAGAUACCCGGGUAGUCCCAGCUGUAAACUAUGCAAACUCAGUGAUGCAUUGGCUUGUGGCCAAUGCAGUGCUGCAGGGAAGCCGUUAAGUUUGCCGCCUGGGAAGUACGUACGCAAGUAUGAAACUCCAAUGAAUUGACGGAAU